AAAGUCUAGGCUAGAUUUUUCUGGGCGGGCGAAGGUGGUAAACAGUAGUACCCUAUGGUUCGCUGGCCGGACAUCUAGAAGCCGCGUGACCAGGGUGGCCUCAGGAUCAUGUCCUCCCAAUGCAUGAAUAUUGCCCUCCUGACACGCUAGCUCUGGCGGAUCGCUAAUGGGGAGGGUAGACUUUGGCUCCAUAUCAUC
rnacentral:rRNA from 1 species